UGUGUCUCUAUGAUUUUGCAGGGUAUGGACCUAUCAUCAUUAUGGAAUCUACUCAGUGGGUUUGUAAAGCUACUGUUACAGUGAUCUAUCAGUGUACAAAAUGGUCUCAACUAUACUUUUUCCAAAGCCAUAACUGAGGCUAUUGGCACUUGGAAUGGAGGUCCCAAUCCACAGCAUCACAUCUGCUUCCAGAAGCUGAAGGUCACAGGAGAAUUGCUGUUGGAUGACUCAAGAGCACCUCUUAUCUUGGAGUGCCCAGGGCGGUUGCCCUUCCCACCCCAUGGAAGUUAUGGCUCUGUCUCUCAAUGGCAAUUUAUGUGGUCACCCAUGGCUAGAAAGACUAGAUUUCCCAUAAAGCAGACAAUGCAUUUAUAUACAGUGUUUAGUGCGCAGUUCAACAAUCAUUACAUCCACCCCACGUAUUUGCUUGUUUUUAGCUAUUCUUGAUGGUUUGUCGAUGAUGUAUUCGUAAAAAAACAAGUUCUUUGUAUUGUGCGAAAGAAGGGAGAAUGUCAAUAUUCUUUUGUUCAUUUAGCAGUCUGAGAUAUGAAUUUAGGUGUAACAAUGGAGCAUAUAUAAGGUAUUGUGACCUGACAGAAUGACCAAUUAGCAAGGAACUUGCCUCCUGGAUGAACUAUGGAAUGCUACCACCUCUUAUGCUGCCAAAAUCUUACAUCAAUACCUCUGCAUAAACAGAAUAUAUCUCAAUAUUUUUCAUA